rnacentral:rRNA from 1 species
UACGAAGGGGGCUAGCGUUGCUCGGAUUUACUGGGCGUAAAGGGCGCGUAGGCGGACAGUUAAGUCGGGGGUGAAAGCCCGGGGCUCAACCUCGGAAUUGCCUUCGAUACUGGCUGUCUUGAGUACGGGAGAGGUGUGUGGAACUCCGAGUGUAGAGGUGAAAUUCGUAGAUAUUCGGAAGAACACCAAUGGCGAAGGCGACACACUGGCCCGUUACUGACGCUGAGGCGCGAAAGCGUGGGGAGCAAACAGG